UACUGGAAUUAAUAACGGUUAUUUGUACCUGAAUGAAAAGCUACCAGAUAGAAACGGUGGAGAAAGCCAGUAUCUCAAAAGUUACAAUGAAAAGACAGUGUAUGAAAUGCUGGAGCAUCUUCGCACAUGGAGUGUCCCUUCCCCUCCUUCCAACCUCAGCAUGCUGCUCUCUAGGCCCACUUUGUGCCUCUCAUCCUGAAGCUUCCCUUGGCCUCUCUCCAGUGUCUGUGUCCCGGCCCCCGUGCCUUGCUGUUCUCGCUCUGCUGUGAUGUGUUGGUGGAGGGAUCCCCUAAGUGCGGUCUCCCCAGAACUCUGCCUGGACAGCCAGCUCCCUCCUCAGCCUCAGCUCUUCCAGUAAGGCGGCUAAUUUGGAGCAUGAGACAGUAGAAGAUUGUGUGAGAUUCCCCAUCGAUGCUGCACGGGGAAUCACGAAAGCACCGGAUUCUCCGGAAGAUGGACACUAGGAGGAAGUACAGAGUUCCAGAAAAGGAGACAAAGUCUCACUCUGUUGCCCAGGCUAGAGUGCUGUGG